AAUGGGUGCUCGGCGUACACUAGCGUCAUAAUAGCGCUACUAUCGAUAUCAUUAUUGUACUUGGAAGUGAGACAGUUUUUAGUUUCGUUUUCUGAAAAACAUGACGUACAAUAUUAUCACAGCGACGGAUAAACAUUGUAUCCGGGUCCCAUAUGUUUAGUUUUCCUCGAGUGAAAGGUUCCUAUUGCGACGAAGCAGAUAAGAAAAUGGAUUAAACAGAACAACAGAACUCGACAAAAUGGGUA